rnacentral:lncRNA from 1 species
GUGCAUACAAAAAUAUAGAUGAAAAACCAAAUGAGUUACACCAACAACAGAUUAAAAACAAAAAGGAUAAAAUAACAGAAGUCCUUAUUACUCACUUAGGUUUUCAAAGUGAAACUUCUGCCCAGGAUUCUCUGGCAAGGAAGGAUGAUGGGGACUCACUAAAAAUUAGAUCUUGGCCCCAAACAAGUACACAAACACCCCUCCAAAUCAUUGGAUAUAUACCCUGUGGAUUAUCAAGUCUUGCCCAGGGGUGGAGUUAAGGCGUACCUAUAGAAAUAAGAGACCACCUCUUUUGUUCCAGACCAACCUCAAUCCAAAUUGAAACAUUUAGCUAAAUAUUCUCUUAUGUACCUGCCACAGAAAUAAUAAUUGCAUCUAUGAAUUCGUUAUUUUCCCAAUCGAAAGACAUGUCACAUUCCUUACUCGCGACCCAACAUGACUGACAUCACAAUUCCCUCCCCCAUGGUCAGGCCAUGCCCCUCAUGUUUGGGCUUGUUUAGAAGAUAGCGCUUGUCACUUUCCAAAUAUAACAAAAAUGAGGCUUAAUUAUUCAUCUGUGGGGUAAAUAUGAAUAUUUUUUUCCUUCCUUUGGAUAUGAUACUGGAACAAGGCUAAUGGCCAUUAACAUAUUGCCUCAUCAAAUACAAGGUACAUGCCAAAUGAAUGAAGAGACAUUCAGACUUUUUCCAAGUGUAGAACCUCACACCUUGAUUAAUUCACAUCCAUAUGGUAAAAUCCUUUUCACAUUCCUAGGUCAUUCAAACUACCCCUUCUGUCAUCUGACCUCAGUGUGGGGUCUUGGCUUCAAAAGAUCUAACCUCUACAAUAAAAUUUACCACUUUUGACAUGCACAAUACCAUCGCUGCGGUAGGUCAGAAAUUACAUUGAAGUACAAUAUUCCAUAGUGCCAUAAUAAAUUAUGCACCCUUGCUGUGACACCCAAAUAUCCUUUAAUGAUCCCUGCUUACACCAAAACAUUAGGACGUUCAUAAGCUCACAGGUCUGCAGUUUCUGGUUGGAGCUUUUGAAGGAUUUUUUAAAAUAUGUGCACGGCCUCUGAUUUUCUCCAAUUCUCUGGUAUCAUUCCUGAAAGGAAAAAAAUGCUAUUUCUACACUCAAUUCUUUAAGUUUUUCAUUUGUGAAUGCUUUCUGGCCCUAAGGUUUUGUUUACAUUAAUUUUAUUUACUUGCUGUAGCACUUUAUCCUGUGUUAACCAAUCAUCAAUUUGUUGUAAAGCUUCUGCAACAGGGAUUUGCAAAUCUACAGCCAUAGAUUCUUGUAUGAAGGCAGGUUAAAUUGCUUGUGGUGAUAAAGUUUUUGGAUAAUAGUUCAAUGAUCCUGUCCAGUAAACAUGCUCUGUCAAUAAAGAAAGGCAGACUAUGUCUAGCUAUUGAACAAUGCUCCCAGAGAGAAUUUACUGAGAAAGAAAGAACCGACCCUUUUUGACAUUUAACUACCAACUAUAUUGCUGGAAUCCUUUAUCAGUUUUAGAGACUGAGCUACAGAAAUAAUCGGACAAAAGAUUCCAUCCUGAAGCUUCUAAGACCUUGAUACCUCUUCAGGACCUGUAUGCAUGAAGUGUUAAACAGAAAGACUAGUGACUAAAAGCUGGGAGUUGGCAAAGUAAACCUUUGCUCAGAAGAGUAGAAAUUAAAUAUAAAGUUACAUAGUUACAUAGCUGAAUAGAGACUUGCAUCCAUCAAGUUCAGCCUACCUCACAUUUGUUUUUUGCUGUUGAUCCAAAAGGCGGCAAAAAAAAAAAAAACCAGUUUGAAGCACAAUUUUGCAACAAGCUAGGAAAAAAAUUCCUUCUUGACCCCAGAAUGGCAGUCAGAUUUAUCCUUGGAUCAAGCAGUUAUUACCCUAUAUUGAAAGAGUAUAUCCUUGUAUAUUCUGUUCUUGCAAGUAUGCAUCUAGAAGACGUUUGAACAUCUGUAUGGACUCUGAUAAAACCACUUCUUCAGGCAGAGAAUUCCACAUCCUGAUUGUUCUUACAGUAAAAAAACCUUUCCUUUGCCUUAGAUGAAAUCUUCUUUCUUCCUGCAUAUAAAUGCAUCACUCAAUAGGACGCUUUGUCUGCUUCAGUAAAGUGUGCAAAGUGCCAAGUCAAUGACAAUUAUUCCCUGGCCAAAUCAGAGGUUCGGGGAGUAAAAUAUAUUGCGAUUUAUCUACAUAUCAUGCAAACAUUGAAAGUAGAUGCUUCAAUCUUCAAAAGAGUGAUAACUGAGCCAGAUAAUUAGCAGGGCUGUUUCCAGAAAAAUAAUAGUCAUUCUUGUCAAAUGUGUAAAGGUUUGUUGUUAAAUUCCCCUUUGUAAUAUUACAAAGCACUGCAGAAUAGAUGCAAAUAGUAAAAACAACAACAACAUAGGGUUUAUUUUUGAUGGAUCAAUAUUGAUUGUGUUGGCACUCAAUUACGUGAUGCUACAGGUAUUGGAGGUAUUCCCCCAAAUGACCUCAAUUAAAUAUACAAAAAAAUAGAUUAAUACCGCACUCAAAUGCAUAUAAUAUGCAUGAGAAAAUAGAAUCACUGUGUAAAUAUGCAAAAAUUCAUUAUACACUAAAUACACCAAAUUCAUGAAAGUAGAAAAAAAGACCACUGUUACGAAAAUAUUAAAAUUGAUGAUCUCUCUAUAAAUUCAUCUAUGAUACAUAACAAAAUUUCAUAAUAUAUACAUCCCAGACUAUUUACAACUAUAUACAGUCCAUGAACAUCAUAUGCAUGAAGCUGAAAGUUCAUAAAUAUUCAGGUGGAUCCACCACUUGAUUGCUGUUCUAUUGAGAAAAAAGACAAUAAAUUAAACAAACUUAAAGGGACACUAUAGUCAUCCAGACCACUUCAGCUCAAUGAAGUGGUCUGGGUGCCAGAUCCUUCAGGUUUUAACCUGAGGUUUUUUUUCAGAGAAACUGCUAUGUUUACAUUUGGGGUUAAGCCAGCCUCCAGAAGACAGCCACUAGAGCCGCAUCUGCGACGCUGGAGGCAUAUUAUGCCUG